AUUAUAUAUAUAUGUGUAUCUAGAAAAAGGGAAAUUGCUUUAUCAUGUUUAUAUCAAAUAUACAUAAUAUUAACUUUAAUAUAGUUUGCCUCCGGGUGCGGGAAUUUCUCGCUGCAUUGAAGACUUGUUGGUGACCUUCUGCUGUUUUACGUCAGCUUUACACAAAUAAUAUACUGUAAAUUUUGAAAUAUUUACAAUCUCUGGUGGAAAAACACUUUUCUGAUAUAUUAAUUUACUCAAACCUGGAUUAAUCCACCAUUUUCUACAUUUACAGUCAGGAAUAGGACAGUUGUUAACCAUUCGUUUU
rnacentral:lncRNA from 1 species